UAUACAGUUGCAAAACAAAGGAUUGUUACGGAACUGCUUGUUACUCAGUGGUCUGCGCCGGCUGGCUCAUCGGUUUCUCUGGGUGUGGUCCCAUCCCUGGCCCGCAGUCCGUACAAUCGAUAACAACAAAACUACAACGUCUGUAGCAAAACAUACCUAUAUAACACUAUUCGAUAAUAACAAACAAUCGAAACUUCUAACAAAUGAACAACAUAAACAGCUGCGACAAAUAAAUGUAAACAAGCAAAGAUGGGGUCCCGGUUCCAGACCCAGCGUACCCGCCCUACCAUGAGGCGACCUACCAUGAGACGAUCAUUUACUCGUCUCCCUCGUUUUGGCCACCUGUCGGCCUAUGUCAGCCCGUGUCGGCUGUUAUGCCCCCUCUCCCCAUCAAGUGAGACUUAGCCGGACAUUUCUCUCUUUAAUAUGUGUCUCCAUUCAGAUAAUUCAGUUCUCAUGCACGUGAACAUUUCUUCUCCAGAAUUCAUUUUUUUAUUUUAACAGCACUUAAUGGAACAGGCGACGAAACACUGCAAAGAUAUUGCUAGUCACCGCAAAAAGAGACAAGCAAGGAAGCAAUUUUGAGGCAAUCGUUGCGCCGACUAAGUAAACCCUCGAUGCUGCCGGUAACGUCAAAUGCAACAGGAUUUAAAUAUAAAAGUGUGUAUGAAUGAUUUUAUAUAUCUUGACAUAUGUUCCACACCCACAUUAUUACAAACAUAUAUUAACAAACUAUAUAUACCAUUCAUGAAUGCCAUAUCAUAUAAAAGUACUGAGCAAUUAUAAGCCAAACCCUAUAUUCACAGUUGUGGCAAUAGUUCCAUAGUCACAAAAAUGCAUAUGCUCGUGAAAUUGCAGCAUAAGCAAGAUCAGCAGAGAAAUUGUGUCUAGAGAAAAGGAUCAUAUUUAAGCUCGCAGCCAAGGUUUGUUAAGCGUCAUCAAUUCAAUAAUUCAUUCUUAUUUGGUAUCAGAAAAUAACAUCACAUAUUAUAAAUACUUUGGCAGUUUUUAUAAAUACAUUUUUUUUAGCACCCAAUGAAAGUAGGAAAAAAUCAUAUAACGUUUUUGUGAAAAAUUUCGGUGCGGCUGUGCUGCUUAUUCCUUUAGCCCCACACUAUGGGCCGUGAUUUAAUAAUAUACUUAUUUUCCUAUCUUUAUAAAAUUUGUAGGGCAUAAAUAUGGAAUACAAAUAUGUGUAAAUACUGUAUUUAAAUGCAUUUUUUUUUUAAUUUGGAAGAACGAGAGCAGGGGUAUCUAACUCCGUGAUAUUAUUUAUGAUUCGACUUUAUCGUUCACAUUCCUUUUAUCGAUUUGCCGGCUAGACAUAGAUCAACCAGGGUUUCCUUUCGACCGCACGAUCAACCAAACUGCAAACAUGUAUAUGGUGAAAAGGUGUUAAGGUCCACUCUAACUAACACCCUCCCCACCAUGAGUUGGCCUCAUAGGCAUCAGCCAACUCCCAAAUCCUGACGUGCACAUUUCUUACACACGCCAUCAACUUCCUACUCAGACAUAUUUACUUACAGAAAUACAUUCAAUAAAUUAAAAUUAUUAACAAUUUUCGUAUCACUUCUGUUGCGGACUGAACUGAAGAAAAAUUAAUAAAUAUAGUUUUUAAAAUAAAUAAAUAACAAAUUUAAGACUUUAAAUAAGUUAAAAUCAUAGCCGCUAAUUAUAAACAAUGCAUUUGCUUAUAAUUAAUAUUAUAAAGUGCAAAUACAUAGAACAGUAAUAAUUAAUUUAAUGUAUUAUAUCAAUUCAGUAUUAAUUAGAUGAAUUGCUACUUUGUAUUCUGCUAUUUGUUUAGAAACAUGUUUAAUUUUAUGAAAAACAUGAGGCCACCCAGACUAGUCUCUGCAGAACCACCCGUGUAGAGGCACUUCGGAUUCGGCAACAAUAUUAAAUUUACUUGAAUAUAUAUAUUUAUAUCCUGAACCCAUUAAAAAUGGGUAAAAAGGGUAUAAUGUGUUUGUCCAAAUGUAUGUAAUAGACGUAAGGAAACAUCUCCGACCCCAUAAAGUAUAUAUAUUCUUGAUCAGCAUCAAUAGCCGAGUCGAUUGAGCCAUGUCCAUCUGUCUGUCCGUAUGUAUGAACGUAAGGAUAUCAGAACCUGAAAUAUAGAUAUAGAACCUGAUAUAGAGCCUGAAAUUUGAAGUGUAUAGAUCCUCCUAGUGCCCGCGCAGUACGAUUUUGUUUCCGUUUGGCCUUGUUGCCAAGUAAUCGAUAAAAAUCGAUAUCGAAAUCCUGUUUUUUGAAUAAAUCUCGUAAGUUAUGAGAACUAGUUACCAAACUUGACGUGUAUGUAUCGUGACAUGUAUCUUUCAUUUUAUAGCUAUCACCACCUCCGUGCUACUACCUCAUAGAUAUAAAUCAAAAAAAUAAACCAAUUUAUACUGCCCACCAAUAUAAGCCACAAUUUUAAUGCAAUUGACUUUAUGAGAAUAUACAAAAAUUCUAUAGCACAAUAAGAUCUACUGUAAAAAAUUUAAUCAAUCGGUUAAGAAACACAGAAGCUAAUAAAGAAAACAAAGAAACACCACAAUUGCAGAAAUCGCUUAAAGAGUAAAUCGACAUAGAAAUACGAUUUCCAACUUUCUCAAGAAUGUCGAUAAGUACGGUAAUAUUCUGCGCAGCGGCAGACCGACCCUUAUUAAUAAGGGUAUUACGGGGAAUUUCACGACAUGCUAAUGAAAGACCACAUAUGUGCCCGUUUGGCAUUUGCCGAAAAAUAUAAAUUUUGGACCCAUGAAUUCCAGAAUGUCAUUUUUUCGGACUAGAAAAAAUUUGGAUGGUCCAGACGGUUGCCAUAAGUAUUGGCGCGAUUUAACGACAACCAAGUCAGGCUCGACA